CCAGACUCCUACGGGAGGCAGCAGUGGGGAAUAUUGCACAAUGGGCGGAAGCCUGAUGCAGCAACGCCGCGUGCGGGAUGACGGCCUUCGGGUUGUAAACCGCUUUCGCCUGUGACGAAGCGUGGGUGACGGUAAUGGGUAAAGAAGCACCGGCUAACUACGUGCCAGCAGCCGCGGUGAUACGUAGGGUGCGAGCGUUGUCCGGAUUUAUUGGGCGUAAAGGGCUCGUAGGUGGUUGAUCGCGUCGGAAGUGUAAUCUUGGGGCUUAACCCUGAGCGUGCUUUCGAUACGGGUUGACUUGAGGAAGGUAGGGGAGAAUGGAAUUCCUGGUGGAGCGGUGGAAUGCGCAGAUAUCAGGAGGAACACCAGUGGCGAAGGCGGUUCUCUGGGCCUUUCCUGACGCUGAGGAGCGAAAGCGUGGGGAGCGAACAGGCUUAGAUACCCUGGUAGUCCACGCUGUAAACGGUGGGUACUAGGUGUGGGGUCCAUUCCACGGGUUCCGUGCCGUAGCUAACGCUUUAAGUACCCCGCCUGGGGAGUACGGCCGCAAGGCUAAAACUCAAAGGAAUUGACGGGGGCCCGCACAAG
rnacentral:rRNA from 1 species